GUCGAACGAGGUCCAUCCGGUGGCAACACUGGUGAAGACCGAGUGGCGAACGGGUGAGUAUCACGUGAGCAACCUGCCCCGAAGACUGGGAUACCACCGGGAAACCGGUGCUAAUACCGGAUACCCCUACCGGGCCGCAUGACCUGGUAAGGAAACGAAUUUUGCUUCGGGAGGGGCUCGCGACCUAUCAGCUUGUAGGUGGGGUAACGGCCCACCUAGGCUCCGACGGGUAGCUGGUCUGAGAGGACGAUCAGCCACACUGGGACUGAGACACGGCCCAGACUCCUACGGGAGGCAGCAGUGGGGAAUCUUGCGCAAUGGGCGAAAGCCUGACGCAGCAACGCCGCGUGAGGGACGAAGGCCUUCUGGGUUGUAAACCUCUUUCAGCAGGGACGAUGAUGACGGUACCUGCAGAAGAAGCCCCGGCCAACUACGUGCCAGCAGCCGCGGUAAUACGUAGGGGGCGAGCGUUGUCCGGAUUCAUUGGGCGUAAAGAGCUCGUAGGCGGCUUGGCAAGUCGGGUGUGAAACCUCCAGGCUCAACCUGGAGCCGCCACUCGAUACUGCCAUGGCUAGAGUCCGGUAGGGGACCACGGAAUUCCUGGUGUAGCGGUGAAAUGCGCAGAUAUCAGGAGGAACACCAGUGGCGAAGGCGGUGGUCUGGGCCGGUACUGACGCUGAGGAGCGAAAGCGUGGGGAGCGAACAGGAUUAGAUACCCUGGUAGUCCACGCCGUA
rnacentral:rRNA from 1 species